rnacentral:misc_RNA from 1 species
AAGUCGUAACAAGGUUUCCGUAGGUGAACCUGCGGAAGGAUCAUUGGAGAAAGUGAGGGAGGAAGAAGAAGGAGAGGAAGGGAAGGACUUUUUAACAAUUUAAUUAGUUUAUAUAGUUGUUGUUAUUAUAUUCUCUCCUCCUCUUCUCUUCAGCCCAAAAAACCACGUGUGAACACACAAACUUUGAGGGGAGAUGAAUGAGAGGAACUCAUUACUCUCUGAGAAGUUUAACAAAAUCCAUAUCUAUUUAUAGAGUAUAUAAAGUAGCACGACGAGGGAGGAGUUACCGAGUUUGGUAACACGAUCUCAGUGUGUGAAAAAGAAUCAUACAUAAUUAAAAAAAAAAAAAUACAACUUUUAACAAUGGAUCUCUUGGCUCUCGG